GAUGAAGAACGUAGCGAAAUGCGAUAAGUAAUGUAAAUUGCAGAAUUCAGUGAAUCAUCGAAUCUUUGAACGCACAUUGCGCCCGCCAGCAUUCUGGCGGGCAUGCCUGUUCGAGCGUCAUUUCAACCCUCGAGCCCCCCCGGGGGCCUCGGUGUUGGGGGACGGCACACCAGCCGCCCCCGAAAUGCAGUGGCGACCUCGCCGCAGCCUCCCCUGCGUAGUAGCACACACCUCGCACCGGAGCGCGGAGACGGUCACGCCGUAAAACGCCCAACUUCUUAGAGUUGACCUCGGAUCAGGUAGGAAUACCCGCUGAACUUAAGCAUAUCAAUAAGCGGAGGA
rnacentral:misc_RNA from 1 species